rnacentral:rRNA from 1 species
AGUGAACGCUGGCGGCAGGCCUAACACAUGCAAGUCGAACGGUAACAGGAAACAGCUUGCUGCUUUGCUGACGAGUGGCGGACGGGUGAGUGAUGUCUGGGAAACUGCCUGAUGUAGGGGGGUAACUACUGGAAACGGUAGCUAAUACCGCAUAACGUCGCAAGACCAAAGAGCGGGACCUUCGGGCCUCUUGCCAUCGGAUGUGCCCAGAUGGGAUUAGCUAGUAGGUGGGGUAACGGCGCACCUAGGCGACGAUCCCUAGCUGGUCUGAGAGGAUGACCAGCCACACUGGAACUGAGACACGGUCCAGACUCCUACGGGAGGCAGCAGUGGGGAAUAUUGCACAAUGGGCGCAAGCCUGAUGCAGCCAUGCCGCGUGUAUGAAGAAGGCCUUCGGGUUGUAAAGUACUUUCGGCGGGGAGGAAGGGAGUAAAGUUAAUACCUUUGCUCAUUGACGUUACCCGAAGAAGAAGCACCGGCUAACUCCGUG